UACGUAGGGGGCAAGCGUUGUCCGGAUUUAUUGGGCGUAAAGAGCUCGUAGGCGGUUUGGUAAGUCGGGUGUGAAAUCUCCACGCUCAACGUGGAGGGGCCACUCGAUACUGCCAUGACUCGAGUCCGGUAGAGGAGUGUGGAAUUCCCGGUGUAGCGGUGAAAUGCGCAGAUAUCAGGAGGAACACCCGUAGCGAAGGCGGCACUCUGGGCCGAUACUGACACUGAGGAGCGAAAGCGUGGGGAGCGAACAGG
rnacentral:rRNA from 1 species